AUGAACGAUGAUGUUUCGAAUCUUUUGAUUAGUCUUAAUAAUGGAGAUGAAGAUUUGAAGUUGUUGUUUGAGAUGUUGAGGAAUUUAAGGUUUAUAGUAGCUAGUGCAGCUCGAGUUUCCCCGUCGUUUGUAGCAAGGGGUAGCCUUGUUCCAGGAAAGAUUAUUGCAGUAUGGAGACCAAGAACAGAAGGCAAAGAAACAGGUAGCCCGUCAUUUGAAAUCAGUUGGGUUGUAGAGAUGGGAGUAGGCAUUGAAGGAGCAUUUGAGCAGAGAAAUUUAAAGCAACUCAAAAUACAACAAAAAGUAUGA